CUGUGAAAGCAUUUGUGGCCUGAAAACCAGCUUCCUGCAUACUGCUCUCCCAGCGAAGCUUGUGAUUCCAACCUUAACCUGUCCUUACUGGAGACAACUGCUGAGCUUGGAGCUGUCAAGUCACUUCCAUCUUCGCUCGUCAGAGUCCAUUGCUCUUUCCAUUCCCGGAUUUGGCACCAUCCAAUUGCCACCUGAUCCCAGGUCUUUCAGUCUGUAGGCACUGGAGAUAUCUGCACUGAACCCAAGGAGCAAGCGUUGGGCAGUCCCAUCAACCAGCCAGCCAGAGGAUCUGGGCCAUGGCGGAUGUGGAAAUGAAGAAAAUCAUCUGCCAAGACUCGAUUUCCCUUUUACAACUAAGUUCUAAUCCUCUGUUCCUCCAGCACCAUUUUUUCAGGUCCCAGCCAACGAUGGUGAUCAACUGUCUCUCCUCUUUCGUGUUGCCUUCCCUCAGGCACGCUCACCAAUACAACAUAGCGAUAUCCUUGACGUCCAGGGAGUCGGGAGAUUCUUCCUGUUCCUUCUGGUUGUGAAUACUGAGUGUGACCUCCCCCCGGCCCCCGCUCGGGGCUGGCCUCCCGCGGGGCGCCGCGCCGCCUCCCUCCCUGCGCGCAGGCUGCGGCCGCGGCUGCCUCCAACUCAUCCCAGCCCCGCCGCCGCCGCCGCCGCCGCCUCCUCCUCCUUCUCCUCCUCCCCCCGCCCUGCCCGCUCCGCUGGCUGCCGCCUGUCUGCGGCGAGUCUGGCUCUGGCGGCCGGGCGCG
rnacentral:lncRNA from 1 species